CUCUUCGGAGCUAGUGGCGGACGGGUGAGUAACGCGUGACAAUCUGCCUUCAGGUCUGGGACAACAGAAGGAAACUUCUGCUAAUCCCGGAUGAGCCCUUGGGUAAAAGAUAAAUUGCCUGGAGAUGAGCUCGCGUCUGAUUAGCUAGUUGGUGUGAUAAAAGCAUACCAAGGCGACGAUCAGUAGCUGGUCUGAGAGGAUGAGCAGCCACACUGGGACUGAGACACGGCCCAGACUCCUACGGGAGGCAGCAGUGGGGAAUUUUCCGCAAUGGGCGAAAGCCUGACGGAGCAAGACCGCGUGGGGGAGGAAAGCUCUAGGGUUGUAAACCCCUUUUCUUUGGGAAGAAGUACUGACGGUACCAAAGGAAUCAGCCUCGGCUAACUCCGUGCCAGCAGCCGCGGUAAUACAGAGGAGGCAAGCGUUAUCCGGAAUGAUUGGGCGUAAAGCGUCCGCAGGUGGCCAUGUAAGUCUGCUGUCAAAACCCAGGGCUUAACUCUGGUCAGGCAGUGAAAACUACCAAGCUAGAGUUCGGUAGGGGCAAAGGGAAUUCCCGGUGU
rnacentral:rRNA from 1 species